CCAAUUAUCAACAAGACAUUUAAAAUUAUCAAGCCAAAAACCUGAUAUAGAAUUAUCGUAGAAAUUGGAUAAAAAUAAAAUAAAAAAUAAAAAAUCCUAGAAAUUUGACAUAUAUGAUCCCAACUAACGGUGCACAAAGUUUUCAAACCCCUUCCCCUUGCGCGAGCCAAGUGUCCAUCUUCUCAUAUCCCAAACCCAGGGUUUAUGCGCAGUCCGAAGAACUGGAAUGAAGACCAUUCAUGUCGAAGGGUUCGAUUCCUACUAUCUGGUAUGGCAUCUAGAGAGAGAGAGUGUGUGCUUUCUCUCUCCAAAGAAACCCUCUAUCAUCACUAUGUGAUCUUGUUUUCCCUUUUUUAUUUCUCACUGUUCAGGAAGAUUCUACCGAUCACUUGUUCGAGCCCUAGGACGUCGAUACAAGAACCAUGACGCUAACAAUGAUUCAGAGUACAACACCGUCAUUACCUCCCUCACUUCGAAUGUCUCUCCAUUUUCUCAAUACUACUCAUAUAUAUAUAUAUAUAUAUAUAUAUAUAUAUAUAUAUAUAUAAAUUUAUUCAUCUACAUUGUGUGUAUGUAUAUGUGUGUCUGUGUCUGUGUGUAUGUAUAAAUUCAUAUUAAUCUACAUGUGUUUGUAUAUAUAUAUAUGCUUCUGUGUCUUUUGCAGGCAUUAUUUAUAGCGGGCUGUGUAUGAUUUGGAAACAUGAUCCUGCUUUGUCUAAGGUCUUAAUUUUUGUGUGACCAAACUAGCAUUUGUUUCUUUACUAUGUCAGCCCAUAUUAAUUUUGGUCUUUCCCUUAACUUAGAUACUAGAAAUUCACGUGUAGUGGUCUUACUAAUUUCAGGUUAGUUUUGUUUGAAUAUAAAAUUGCAUUUUGGGAGCAGAAUCAUAUUUAAUUGGGUAUUAUGAGCUAUUUUUCAUGGUAAUUGUUCUUAACAUUUAUCCCAACCCAAAAAAGAGAAAAACCGAGAAAAAUGAGAGGAAUGCAAAUCCAAGUUUUGGUGAUUAUGAAUCUCCCAUUCCUUUGUAAAAGCAUGCUCCGUGCAAUUCAAGAGAAUCGAUUAUCUAAAUUUACCUCUAAUGUGGGAAAGAAAUCCAAACUCUUGAUCUCAAAUGUAGUCUAGUGCACCGAUAAAAUAAUCCAUUCUUUAAUCAUUACUGUUGUUUUAAAUUGGUCAUCUCUAUCUUCAAUUAAUGUCACACAGCUGGGUCUGUAAGUUACUCAUUUUUAUUUGAAUUACCUGCUUUAGCAAGUCUUUGUGACUGUGAAGUGAACCAUUACUUAUCUACUUUAUAGGUUGCUUUAUAUAACUUCUUGAUAUCGUUCUAUAGUUUGACUUUUAACCUGUCUAUGUUCAUUAUUAUACUAAAAUAGAUUGAAUAAUAAAAUAACCUACCUUCAACAUUUAGGUAUGCUAAUGUUCAUGAUAUGACUGCUGCUGGUCUUGGUUUAAACUAGUUCUGCUACGUGGGGCAUAUAAGUGCACAUAAGAAUGAUUCGGUGAACAAAGUCCAAGGGGUGGUCAUCAGUUGAAGCAUCGAGAGACAAAGCAUGGCGGAUUCCUGAGUAAAGAGUUAACAGUAUAUCGCGUUGCAAUUCAUGCAUGUGCUGACCUUUGGAAUGUAGAGGGGAUAAGCAAUGGAAACACUUUUGGAGAUGCUUAAAGAGGAUGGUAAAACUCUUGAUGUCUUUAUUGUGAUGCAAACUGUGAGGUGCUGCAACGCAGGCAGGGGAUGACUUCUGGUGGACUAACAAUCAAGGAAUUAAUUGACUUGCUUGAUUGCUUGGCUUCGACUGAAAAUAGAGUUUGAGCCCGAACAGUAUGCUGUUGAUGCUGUUCUCCUUCAAGAUCCCACCAGCAUGUAUCCGAACUCGUCAAGAUCCCAGUAUGUAUGUGCUUGAACUCAUUGUCUCUGAGCUUCUGGGGGAAUGCUGCCUUGCUCCCCGAGCCUUGUGACGGCGAUAGCCACAUUUGCCGGAGCUCCGCUGGGCACCUUCUCACACCCAUAAUUUCCUCCUCAAGCACUCCACACCCAUUGGAGAAAUGAUCUCCAUGCGUUUGUAGAAGCAGGUGCUGCAACGCUGGCAGGGGAUGACUUCUGGUGGACUAGCAAUCAAGGAAUUAAAUGACUUACUUGAUCGCUUGGCUUCGACUGAAAAUAGAGUUUGAGCCCCUUGUCGAAGUGUCUGCCGUUGACGUUGUUCUCCUUCAAGAUCCCGCCAGCAUGUGUCCGAACUAGUCAGGAUCCCAGUAUGUAUGUGCUUGAACUCAUCGUCUCUGAGCUUCCGGGGGAACGCUGCCUUGCUCCUGAGCCUUGUGAUGGCGAUAGCCACGUUCGCCGGAGCCCGUCCCGGGCACCUUCUCACAUACCCAUAAUUUCCUCCUCAAGCACUCCACUCCCAUUGGAGAAAUGUUGAUCUCCAUGCGUUUGUAGAAGGUGAGAAGCAGACCAACCAUGGCAUAAUUUCCUCCUCAAGCACUCCGCACCCACUUUUUUAUUUUGACAUCUCUCCAUAUAUAUAUAUAUAUAUAUAUAUAUAUAUAUAAUUUUCUCUACGAACAAUUGAACUGAAAUGAAUGAAUGAAAUAAAAGUCUUGCAUUAGAUAUGGGGCGCAGUAGAGAUAUAUCAUAUGACAAAGAAACGUGCACAUUAUAUAUGCACUUGUAUAUAAAGAUUUCAGUUACGAAGGAUUUCAGUUGGUGAAUCAUGCAAAGAUGGAGUAGUUUGGUGAGCCAUGCAAAGAUGGAGCUAAAAUGCCAAUGAUGUGUUCAGUUCACUUUUACAGAUUUUCUUUUAUAUAUAGAUAUACAGUCCUGUUCAGUUUACUCCCUGGUGUGCAGGGAACAAUAUAAGCGUCUUUUAAUAUUAUUUGUUUGUGGUUUUUUAAAACUCCAAAACCACUCAAGUGUUUUAAAUAAAAUAAAAGACCUUAUAAUAAGGG